GGUUAUCACAAGCCUGCUUUGAUUGAAUCAUCUUUCUUUCCUGCCCUUCAGGGGGAGAAUGGAAAAAUGUCUGCUAGUGAUCCAAGUUCUGCCAUUUAUGUGACCGAUUCAGCAAAAGAGAUAAAAAACAAG